rnacentral:lncRNA from 1 species
CUUCACAAGAGCAGAGAGAAACCUGUCUGCGGAAUCUUAUAUGUUUAAUAUUUCAAGGAGCAUUCAGAGGUUUCCAGAGCAUUUCUCUAAGCAUCUGACUCUACAGCUGACUGUACUCAGGUGUCCAUUGAAGAUGAAGCAGGUUUUGAACAAAUGUGUCUCGGGGACUGUUUGUUAG